rnacentral:rRNA from 1 species
GAUGAACGCUGGCGGCGUGCCUAAUACAUGCAAGUCGAGCGAAUGGAUUAAGAGCUUGCUCUUAUGAAGUUAGCGGCGGACGGGUGAGUAACACGUGGGUAACCUGCCCAUAAGACUGGGAUAACUCCGGGAAACCGGGGCUAAUACCGGAUAACAUUUUGAACCGCAUGGUUCGAAAUUGAAAGGCGGCUUCGGCUGUCACUUAUGGGUGGACCCGCGUCGCAUUAGCUAGUUGGUGAGGUAACGGCUCACCAAGGCAACGAUGCGUAGCCGACCUGAGAGGGUGAUCGGCCACACGGGGACUGAGACACGGCCCAGACUCCUACGGGAGGCAGCAGUAGGGAAUCUUCCGCAAUGGACGAAAGUCUGACGGAGCAACGCCGCGUGAGUGAUGAAGGCUUUCGGGUCGUAAAACUCUGUUGUUAGGGAAGAACAAGGGCUAGUUGAAUAAGCUGGCACCUUGACGGUACCUAACCAGAAAGCCACGGCUAACUACGUGCCAGCCGCCGCGGUAA